AGGCCACGUCCGAACUGUCCCCUUCAUGGGGUGCGUGCUCCGCAAGAGCUAGGACGUGGUCUUUAU
rnacentral:ncRNA from 1 species